UGAGGCAUAUUGGUCAAUGGACGAGUGUCUGAACCAGCCAAGUAGCGUGCAGGAUGACGGUCCUAUGGGUUGUAAACUGCUUUUGCUUGUGAAUAAUCGUCAUUACGUGUAAUGUUUUGCAUGUACCAUUCGAAUAAGGACCGGCUAAUUCCGUGCCAGCAGCCGCGGUAAUACGGAAGGUCCAGGCGUUACCCGGAUUUAUUGGGUUUCAAGGGAGUGUAGGCGGUUGGUUAAGCGUGUUGUAAAAUGUAGAUGCUCAACAUCUGACGUGCGGCGCGAACUGGCUGACUUGGGUACACACAACGUAGGCGGAGUUCAUGGUGUAGCGGUGAAAAGCUUAGAUAUCAUGAAGAACUCCGAUUGCGAAGGCAGCUUACGGGAGUGUUACUGACGCUUAAGCUCGAAGGUGGGGGUAUCGAACAGG
rnacentral:rRNA from 1 species